CCUACGGGAGGCAGCAGUGGGGAAUCGUUCCGCAAUGGGCGCAAGCCUGACGGAGCAACGCCGCGUGAGUGAAGAAGGGUUUCGACUCGUAAAGCUCUGUUGUCGGGGACGAAUGUGGAGAUGGUGAAUAACCAUUUUCAAUGACGGUACCUGACGAGGAAGCCACGGCUAACUACGUGC
rnacentral:rRNA from 1 species